GUUUAUUGUUGAAAAUAGACAAGUUUAAAAAUACUAAAAAUGAUUAAUUUUUUUGCAUUGUGACUGAUAUGAGAUAUCGCCAUUUUGGCAGUUCAAUGAAUAAAAUGGCAGGCUAAAAUUUAUUUCACCUGCCAAAAAAAUUUAGACUGGCAGACCAUAUUUUUUCUCUACUUUAAUGAGCCCUGGACGAGUAAAAUUAUCUGGCGUUAGACAAUGAAAAAAUAAGUAGGGCACACUGUGGCGCAUUGCAGCUCAAUGGGUUAACCAUUAAGUGCCAGCGCUCUCCACUUGACGAGUAAAAUCGUCUGGCGUUACGCAGAGUAAAAUACUAAAGUAGGGUGCAACAGGGUGCAAUGCGACUCAAUGGGUUAACUAGACACAUGGGCAGAUAGACCAGUUAACCCAUUAAGGGCCAGCGCUCUCUCCUUGACGUGUAAAAUCGUCUGGCGUUAGACAGAGUAAAAUACUAAAGUAGGGUGCAUCAGGGUGCAAUGCGACUCAAUGGGUUAAUAUGGCAUAAUUAUGACAGAUCAAUACAUUCUGAUAAUAAUACUGCGAUUUCCAGUUGAGUAUGGAAUUACGAAAGUUUGUUCGUAGAGUUUGUUCGUUAACUUUUGUCGUUUGAAAACAAUGUUUGUGACGUCAUUCUAUAAUGUUACCAGGCGAGCACACAAUGUUGUCAAGUAAAAACCGUUAAAAACUAUCAAUCAUUACAAAACGAAAUAAGUUUCUAUUUAUAGUCGUGAACUUGGCAGUAUUUUACUUGACAACAUUGUCAGCUCGCCUAACAACAUUAUAAAAUGAUGUCACAAACAUUGUUUUCAAACGACAAAACUUGACGAACAAACUUUCGCAAUUCCAUACUCAACUGGAGAUCGCAGUAUUAACUUAUUCAGGAAUUAAUUCACACAAAUGAUUGUUAAAUGUUAAAUGUAUCGGAUAAAUGCUGGGCAUCAAGAAUAUAUGGAUAGUAUCCUUCAUACAGCAUUACAGCUACAUUUAUAAUAAUAUUCAGGCUAUAAAUAUAAGUUGUUUUAUGUACUAGCUAUUUAAAAGUGUUUUGUCAGAUUUAAACAUUAGAGGCAAAGCCAAGUAUCUUUAGGUCUGAUAAUUAAACACGCUCUGUGAAUGUUUUAAAUUAUUCAAAAACGACCGAUCUAGUAAGUUCAUUGGCGAAGUAAUUUUCAAAAAAUACAUUGUGUAAGUAGAGAA